GCUGGGUGUGGUGAUGCACACCUGUAAUCCUAGCUACUCAGGAGGCUGAGACAGGAGAAUCACUUGAACUCGGGAGGCGGAGGUUGCAGUGAGGUGACAUUGCACCACUGCACUCCAGCCUGGGUGACAGAGUGAGACUCUGUCUAAA
rnacentral:SRP_RNA from 1 species